CUUUUCAUUCCCGUUGUUAUGGAGGGCCACAUCUGCCAGAGCCUGGAGUCUGCGAAGGCCGGGACCCGGUUCCCCGGCCCACAGUGGGGGUGUGCAAACCCGAGAGAACUGGGUAAGUUGGGGUCGGCUUGCAGUUUGGGGUACCCCGAGGGCGGUGUACGUCGGUAAGAUUGUAACAGUAUUACUGGAAGACUUAUUCGACUGUCCUGAUGAUACUUGUAAUAGGAAGUGCCGUCAGAAGCGAUAACUGACGACGUCUAAUGUCUAUCUGACCGCAGUCGCUGAAACCUCUACAACUUAGUUGACCGUAACUGCCAGAGCCCUGCCCUGAAUUCCUGUCCUUACUCCCUCUUUAAGAUUGCGUACCCACUGCAGAGUGCUGAAGACGGGGUAGCCACGAGGUUGCAAAUUCGUGAAGAAUCAGCAUCAUGUUUGGCAGCUGAGUAUUGGAGCCAGGAGCCUGCCAUGAGGUUUUGAGAACAGAGUGCUGUUUUAGAGCUGGCAGCAGCAUCUCAGCCCAAGAGAAGGUUAUAUUCCCAGAGGAUGUCAGUCCCAAGGACCAGUAGCUGCCAUCAGUUUGGAUUCUGAAAACUAACUGGCAUCAACACUGGGUGUAGAAACAUGCUUGCCUUAUGUAUCAGAGGACAUGCUCAGCAGAUCCAAGAGAUAUAUUUGGCAACUUUUUCUAGAAAAGGCACAUUGGGUAUCAUUCAUUACAUUCUUGAGUUUUUUUGGGUUUUUUUUUUUUUUUUUGAGACAGUCUUGCUGUAUUGCCCAGGCUGGAGUGUGGUGGCACAAUCACAGCUCAUUGCAUCCUCAAUCACCCAGGCCUAAGCAAUCCUCCCACCUUGUAGCUGGGACUACAGCUCACAGCACACCUGGCUAAAAUUUUUUUUUUGUUGAGACGGAUUCUCUAUGUUGCCCAGGCUGGUCUCAGGCUCCUGGGCUCAGAUGGUCCUCCUGCCUCAGCUUCCAAAGGCACAGGCCAAGUUGUAGCUUUGUCCCUUGCCAUCAUGCCCAACAAGAGGUUCUAUACCUUUUAAUGAAUUGACUUUCAUAAAUUGGUUAUGUUGGUGGGCAAAGUUCUUUAAGCUGGAAAUUGUAAAUUCCUCCUGAAAUGUUUUUUCAUGCAGUUACCAUGAACUAAUACUACAAUAAAGGAUGGUCUUGGGUGUCAA
rnacentral:lncRNA from 1 species